rnacentral:lncRNA from 1 species
UCUUACAAAUUAGUGAAAUUACCUAUGCUUCUAAAUUUCCAGGGUGGAAAAACUGUGAAGGCUCCGAAACAGAUUGGAGAAUAUAAAGAAAAGAAACCAAUCCUGAAGAAUCCAGAAAGAAUCCUGAAGUCAUAUUAAACAUAUAUAACUCUCUCAAUUAGCACAUUAUCAUGGCUUUAUGAUGUCUGUGUCCUCCCAGGAGAAAACAUCAGAGAAAGAGAAGAAAGAAGAUCUUGAUGAAGAAUUCAGAAGGCACCUGCGUUUGUAGCCCCUUGAACAUGAGCCUGGAGCCCUGUGAUGAAGAAUAUAAAUAUAACUUAAAGCAGAGCAACUGCUACCUUUUGCCAACAUGUGUAAGCACAUGAUAGUUCAGUGAUGCCAGAUUUUCCAAUUUUUCGAAGUUGAAAAUUUGUGUUUUUAUUUAAAGUCUUUCCAUUUUUAAAAGUUAGCUACUAAUUCAUUUUUCUAGUGCUCUGACAAACAAACGUAAGACCUGAAACUACCAGCCUGAGCCUACCUGGUGCCAUUCUUCCCUGAACUGCAGGAAAGGCAAUGAUGUAAGGAAGCCUUUGAAACACGAGUGGACCUGCUGUGGCUCCAUUUCUAGAAACACAGGUAUAGAAAUCAGAUCAUGAUUUUCCAAGGGCAAAUCUCAUUUAAUUGAAUCUAUGGGUACAUUCACUAAGCAUUUUCUGUACACAUGGGCGCUGUGAAGAGGGUAGAGACCCAAAUGGGACCAAACCAUACUCUGGCCUUUAAGAAGUAGGUUGCCAACCACAACUAAAUGAGUGUUCAGCUACCUUGUUCCCAAAUUGAAGUGUAGCCUUUUAUCUUACAGAGGACUCAGAAAGUUCCAGAGUUCUCUGUUACUAGGUACUCCUUUACUAAUGCUUCAGGGCAACAAGUGUUCCUGCUGCUACUGUUACUACUAGUAACAGCCACUACUGCAAAUACUACUGGUCCUAUGAUAACUGUUACCACCAUAUAUUAUUGUGUCUUCAUUUUGUGUUAAACACAUUAGGUGAACAAUUUCUAAUGUUCACAAUACUCCUAGAUGAUGGGUACUGUUAUUACACCUGUUUUACAUAUGGUUGAUUUAGUCCAAUCAGCUUUGAUGAGACCACAUGUUGGUAAUGAUCAAAAAUUGAGUUGAAACACAGGAUUAGUGGAGUCUUUCAUUCAUAUCAUGCUGUUUCAGUUCACACCUAGCCUCCUACCAAGACUUUUCAUCUUAUGUCUCAUACAUUUAGGAACUGCUGCCCUUUGAUUAAUAAGUAAAUCAAUUAUUUGGUAGAAUACUGCAAGCUGAUAAAGACAUUAUCAUCUUCCCUUUUUUCCCUGGAUAAUAUCUUAAAUGAGACCCUCCAUGCCUUAACCUCCAGAAGUGACUAAUGAUAGGAAUGUUAGCCAUUACUGAGGCUCUAUUUUGGUAUUGUUUUUGCACCAGCAGCAUUAAUGCUCUGAUAAAGUCAUGCUGUUUGGCAUCAUAUACUCUUCUGGCAUCAGACUGACUGAGCUGGCACAGUGGUAUCUGAAAUCUAAAGGUGGCAUCAGCAGAUUUUUUUUUCUAUGAAGGGCUAGAUAGCAGAGACUUGAGUGGGGCUUGUGUACAAUCUCCGUUGAAACUUCUGUCUUCACUGAACAACUCUACUGUCAUUGGUGAAAAGCAGACACAGACACUAGUAUACAAUGAAACCAAUAAAACCAAACAAUAAAAGGACCAAUAAAACUUUACUCAUAAAAACAGAUAGUGGGCCAUAUUUAGUCUGAAAACUACUUUGUCAACCCUUGGUCUACUUGGUCUUAGGCCAGCUCUGUGAUCCGGGAAGACAACACAUAAACCUGCUGAACCCCACUUUCUUCAUCAGUAAGCAUGCAUAUC